rnacentral:misc_RNA from 1 species
AAGUCGUAACAAGGUUUCCGUAAGUGAACCUGCGGAAGGAUCAUUCAUAAUAAGUGCUUUAUGGCACUUUUUAAAUCCAUGUCCACCUUGUGUGCAAUGCCAGUCGUUCUCUUAUGAGAAUGACCAAACACCAACCUACUUUUUAACGCUUUGUUUGAAAAAUAUUAUGAAUAAAUAAUUCAAAAUACAACUUUCAACAAUGGAUCUCUUGGCUCUC